rnacentral:rRNA from 1 species
UACAGGGGGUGCAAACGUUGCUCGGAAUUAUUGGGCGUAAAGCGCACGUAGGCGGUUCGUUAUGUCGGAUGUGAAAGCCCUUGGCUCAACUGAGGAAGUGCAUCCGAAACUGGCGAGCUAGAGUAUGUAAGAGGGUCGCGGAAUUCCCGGUGUAGAGGUGAAAUUCGUAGAUAUCGGGAGGAACACCGGUGGCGAAGGCGGCGACCUGGGACAAUACUGACGCUGAGACGCGAAAGCGUGGGGAGCAAACAGG